UACGUAGGGAGCAAGCGUUGUCCGGAUUUACUGGGUGUAAAGGGUGCGUAGGCGGUUCGGCAAGUCAGAAGUGAAAUCCAUGGGCUUAACCCAUGAACUGCUUUUGAAACUGUCGAACUUGAGUGAAGUAGAGGUAGGCGGAAUUCCCGGUGUAGCGGUGAAAUGCGUAGAGAUCGGGAGGAACACCAGUGGCGAAGGCGGCCUACUGGGCUUUAACUGACGCUGAGGCACGAAAGCAUGGGUAGCAAACAGG
rnacentral:rRNA from 1 species